rfam:Pseudomonas putida strain TASWS0946 Contig155, whole genome shotgun sequence.
GGAAGCGUGGCCGAGUGGUUUAAGGCAACGGUCUUGAAAACCGUCGAUGGGCAACUAUCCUAGAGUUCGAAUCUCUACGCUUCCG